GUCCUACGGGGGGCAGCAGUAGGGAAUCUUCCACAAUGGGCGAAAGCCUGAUGGAGCAACGCCGCGUGGGUGAAGAAGGUCUUCGGAUCGUAAAGUUCUGUUGACGGGGAAAAAAGACCGGGAAAGGAAAUGAUCCCGGAGGAGAUAUUACCCGUCGAGGAAGUCACGGCUAACUACGUGCCAGCAGCCGCGGUAAUACGUAGGUGGCGAGCGUUAUCCGGAAUGAUUGGGCGUAAAGGGUGCGUAGGCGGUCGAUUAAGUCUGGAGUGAAAGGUACCGGCUCAACCGGUAUAGGCUCCGGAAAC
rnacentral:rRNA from 1 species